CAGUAUUUGACUAAAAGUCAACUGCAAGCUCUGAGUCAGGUUUUGAUCACACACUGGAGCCUGUUCCUGCAAGCAAAGAUCAUCUUAAUGCCUCUCUUAACACCUGUUGUGUCUGCUCCCGUUUCCGUCCUGAUAGUCACAAAGCUCCAGAGCUGUAAAAUCAGAGAGAAAGUCUACCAUUUCAUAUGACCUAAGCACCACAAGGUGUUGGGUAGUACACAGCCAAAUAUUGAGCACAUUAAGAAAGAAGUGCUCCUCCUGAGGGAGAUCUUUGUGGUAAUGGAAUAGUUCUGUAUCAAUUACUGUGGUUAUAUCAAUCUACACAUGUUAAAAUGGCACAGAACUAUAAAUACAUUUUGUGCCACUGUCAAUUUCCUGGUUUUGAUACUCUAGUUAAGUAAGACGUAACUAUUGGGGGAAACUGGGUAAAGGGGACAUGUGACCUCUCUGUACUGUUGUUGCAAAUUCCUGUGAAUCUGUACUUAUUUCAAAAUCGAAUGUUUUUAUAAGUGCACCUUGUGUACAUUAACAUACUUUGAACAUUGUGCAAUAGAACAAGUCUAAUGCAAACACAGCCUACUUUCCAAAUAUGAGGUCUUCAGCCACACCCCAAGAGAAGGCCUGAGGUUGGGAAUGCCCUUGCACAUGCUUUUCCCUCUACCUGGGAUACCCUUUCCCACCUCCUGCACCGCUUAUUCCCCUUCCCCAGGCUGGCUCCUUCUCAUUUCUCAGGCGACAUCUCAAAGCCCCUUCCUUACAGAGGUGUUCCCCUGUCCUAACCUUUGCUGUUCUCCGAAUAUUCCACUCCUUUCACAGCUUCCUUCACCAUGUGUAAUGAUUCAAUUACUUGUUUGUGGCCCAUCUCCCAACUAGAGUAUAAGGUAAACUCCACGAGGCCCUUAGCACACUCCCUGCCACAUGGAAGAUGCUCCAAGAAGAUUUUGU
rnacentral:lncRNA from 1 species